GGAAGGAUCAUUAACACAAAAUAAUGAAAAAAAACACCUCAACAUUUAGUGCUUUUGAGAAUGAUUUUAGGUAUUUAUAUUUAACUUUCUUCUCAUUACAUUAAUUAAACUUUUCUACAAAUUUUUGUAUUUACAAAAAAUUUUGAAAAAAAUAAAAAAUCAAUUUAAAAAUUUUCAACGGUGGAUAUCUUGGUUCCCAUAUCGAUGAAGAACGCAGCCAAAUGCGAUACGCAAUGCGAAUUGCAGAAUUCCGCGAGUCAUCAGAUCUUUGAACGCAAAUGGCGCUGGGUUAACCAAUACCCCAGCAUGUUUGUUUCAGUGUGUUAGGAAUCAUAUAUCUUAAUGCGAUUGAAAAAUUUAUUUUUCUCUCGUUAAAUAUGAAAGUGCUGAAUCGUUCAGUGCCGACCGAAGUAGUCACUUCUUUGCAAGUGAUCUCGGUUGUUGCAUAACUGAGGAUUCACUUAAAGCAUCUUUUUUAAUUAAAAAAAACAUAUUCUCCAUUCAACACCUGAAAUCAAGCAAGAUCACCCGCUGAACUUAAGCAUAUCAGUAAGCGGAGGAAAAGAAACUAACUAGGAUUGCCCCAGUAGCGGCGAGUGAACAGGCAAAAGCUCAAAGUGAAAAUCCAUGGCACAAUGUUAUGGAAUUGUAAUCUAGAGAGGCACUCAGAGGUGAUUGGACGUGACAUAAGUUCCUUGGAACAGGACGUCAUAGAGGGUGAAAACCCCGUAGUCGGUUACGUCUCGGAACCAAUGAGUGUUUUCGAAGAGUCGGGUUGUUUGGGAUUGCAGCCCUAAAUGGGAGAUAAACUUCUUCUAAAGCUAAAUAUUUAUGGGAAACCGAUAGCGAACAAGUACUGCGAAGGAAAGGUGAAAAGAACUUUGAAAAGAGGGUUAAAAGACUUGAAACCGUUGAGAAGGAAGUGGUAGAAGAGUAAUCAUUUGUGUACGAUGUAAGCGUGUGUUUAUUGACUUAGUAGGGGUUUAGUACUUCAUAGGCUGUCCUCUGCUAAAGUAACAGUUUACUACGUGGUUUUCGUAUGCAAGAGACAAAAUGAGGUUACGAUCUUGGGAGUCGUCUACUUGGAAGACCUUUGUAUUCGUAUGAAGACCCAGGUAGCAAAACCAAGGUUUAGCCUGAGGGGCCUGAGGGCGAUUUUGUCAAAGUGGCUUCUACUGUCCCGUCUUGAAACACGGACCAAGGAGUCUAUCCAGUAUGCGAGUGUUAGGGUGGAAAAACCCGAACGCAUAAGGAAACUGAGGAUAAGCUGUGAAACUACAGCAGCCGACCCUGAUUCUAUGAAGAAGGGAUCGAGCAAGAGCAUAUUUGAUAGGACCCGAAAGAUGGUGAACUUCGCUUGAGUAGGGUGAAGCCAGGGGAAACUCUGGUGAAAGCUCGAAGCGGUACUGACGUGCAAAUCGUUCGUCAAACUUGAGUGAAGGGGCGAAAGACUAAUCGAACCAUCUAGUAGCUGGUUCCCUC
rnacentral:misc_RNA from 1 species